rnacentral:rRNA from 1 species
GGAUCUCUUGGUUCUGGCAUCGAUGAAGAACGCAGCGAAAUGCGAUAAGUAGUGUGAAUUGCAGAAUUCAGUGAAUCAUCGAAUCUUUGGACGCACAUUGCGCCCCUUGGUAUUCCAUGGGGCAUGCCUGUUCGAGCGUCAUUUGUACCCUCAAGCUAUGCUUGGUGUUGGGUGUUUGUCCUAUCCAUUGCGACUGGACUCGCCUUAAAGAUAUUGGCAGCCGGCAUUUUGGCCUUGGAGCGCAGCACAAUUUGCGAGUCCAAGCCGGAAUACUGACGUCCAGAUAAGCUUUUACCACGUCUGACCUCGGAUCAGGUAGGGAUACCCGCUGAACUUAAGCAUAUCAAUAAGCGGAGGA